CCAAGGAGUCUAACAUGUGCGCGAGUCAUUGAGUCUUGACUAGGCUCAGAGGCGCAAUGAAAGUGAAGGACGCCAUCUAGGUGUCUGCGUUGGGAUCCCGGGGCCGCGAGCUCCGGGCGCACCAACGGCCCGUCCCGUCUGCGACGUCAGUGGGACGGAGCGAGAGCGUACACGUUGGGACCCGAAAGAUGGUGAACUAUGCCUGGGCAGGACGAGGCCAGAGGAAACUCUGGUGGAGGUCCGCAGCGAUUCUGACGUGCAAAUCGAUCGUCAGACCUUGGUAUAGGGGCGAAAGACUAAUCGAACCGUCUAGUAGCUGGUUCCCUCCGAAGUUUCCCUCAGGAUAGCUGGUGCUCGAGUGGAAUCAGUCUCAUCCGGUAAAGCGAAUGAUUAGAGGCCUUGGGGCCGAAACGACCUCAACCUAUUCUCAAACUUUCAAUGGGUGAGAAGUCCGGUUUACAUGACUGAAGCCCGGACGAUUCUCAGGAUGUGAGUGCCAAGUGGGCCACUUUU
rnacentral:rRNA from 1 species